AUACGGAGGGUCCGAGCGUUAUCCGGAAUCAUUGGGUUUAAAGGGUCCGUAGGCGGGAAUCUAAGUCAGUGGUGAAAUCUUGCAGCUCAACUGUAAGAUUGCCAUUGAUACUGGAUUUCUUGAAUUAGCGUGAAGUGGUUAGAAUGUGUAGUGUAGCGGUGAAAUGCAUAGAUAUUACACAGAAUACCAAUUGCGAAGGCAGAUCACUAACACUAUAUUGACGCUGAGGGACGAAAGCGUGGGGAGCGAACAGAAUUAGAAACCCUAGUAGUCC
rnacentral:rRNA from 1 species